CAGUCGCCACGGUAAUACGAAGGGGGCUAGCGUUGUUCGGAUUUACUGGGCGUAAAGCGCACGUAGGCGGAUCGAUCAGUCAGGGGUGAAACCCCAGAGCUCAACUCUGGAACUGCCUUUGAUACUGUCGAUCUGGAGUAUGGAAGAGGUGAGUGGAAUUCCGAGUGUAGAGGUGAAAUUCGUAGAUAUUCGGAGGAACACCAGUGGCGAAGGCGGCUCACUGGUCCAUUACUGACGCUGAGGUGCGAAAGCGUGGGGAGCAAACAGGAUUAGAUACCCCUGUAGUCCCUGUCUCUUAUAU
rnacentral:rRNA from 1 species